GACGUAGGGCGCGAGCGUUGUCCGGAUUUAUUGGGCGUAAAGGGCUCGUAGGCGGCCAACUAAGUCAGACGUGAAAUCCCUCGGCUUAACCGGGGAACUGCGUCUGAUACUGGAUGGCUUGAGUUCGGGAGAGGGAUGCGGAAUUCCAGGUGUAGCGGUGAAAUGCGUAGAUAUCUGGAGGAACACCGGUGGCGAAGGCGGCAUCCUGGACCGAUACUGACGCUGAGGAGCGAAAGCCAGGGGAGCAAACGGG
rnacentral:rRNA from 1 species